ACCAUUAGCUGCUGCCCAGCACCACCAUCUCAACCACGCACCAACCACCAUCCCCUCCGCCCUCUUCGCUCUCCCCUGUCCCUCUUUGCUCACUCCCCUGCUCUUCCCUCUCACGCACACCUCUGCCUCCCUCUUUCUUCGCCGCUGCCGCACCACCCAGCCACGAAACCACCACACCCAGGCCACCGCACCACUUUCUAUACCCACCUCCGCCUCACAAGACCCGGCAGCUGCUGCUGCGCCGCCCAGAAUCGACCGGGAAACACCCCUCCCCUGUUUCUCUCCCCUGUCUCGCCCUGUUCGUGCUCCCCCUUCCUUUCUCUCGCUGUCGCAGCACCCACAACCACCAUCACCGGCGCACUUUCGCGCCUCCGUAUCGCCCAGGCAUCAGCCAUCCAGCCGCCACCUCCCUUCUCUCCGCCCUUCCUCUUCGUCCGUCCCCUGUUCCUUCGUGUUCUGUUUCCCUCAAAGGAAACGAGUUCCAGUAAUUGGAACUUUGUUUUGUUGCUCAAGUUAAGCCCACAUUCCCUUGGCCCAAAUUCCCAAAAAAUCGAACUCGGAGCUCAGGAAUAACGAUCCAUCGAACAGGAAGUAUAAACUACGGUUGAGGUACGAAGAAGAUCAUGGGAUGCCUUAGAGUGAGGAUGCAACCAUCAAAUUCACGAUCGAUGUUUAGUAGAGACAAUUAUGUCAUUAGUAAUAAAG